rnacentral:rRNA from 1 species
AUACGUAGGGUGCGAGCGUUAAUCGGAAUUACUGGGCGUAAAGCGUGCGCAGGCGGUUUUGUAAGACAGGCGUGAAAUCCCCGGGCUCAACCUGGGAAUGGCGCUUGUGACUGCAAGGCUAGAGUGCGUCAGAGGGGGGUAGAAUUCCACGUGUAGCAGUGAAAUGCGUAGAGAUGUGGAGGAAUACCGAUGGCGAAGGCAGCCCCCUGGGACGAGACUGACGCUCAUGCACGAAAGCGUGGGGAGCAAACAGGAUUAGAUACCCUGGUAGUCCACGCCCUAAACGAUGUCAACUAGUUGUUGGGGAUUCAUUUCCUCAGUAACGUAGCUAACGCGUGAAGUUGACCGCCUGGGGAGUACGGUCGCAAGAUUAAA